CCUACGGGGAGCAGCAGUGGGGAAUAUUGCACAAUGGGGGAAACCCUGAUGCAGCGACGCCGCGUGAGUGACGAAGUAUUUCGGUAUGUAAAGCUCUAUCAGCAGGGAAGAAAAUGACGGUACCUGAUUAAGAAGCCCCGGCCAACUACGUGCCAGCAGCCGCGGUAAUACGUAGGGGGCAAGCGUUAUCCGGAUUUACUGGGUGUAAAGGGGGCGUAGACGGCAGCAAAAGUGUGGAGUGAAAUGCCGGGGCUUAACCUCCGGACUGCUUUGGAAACUGGGCGGCUGGAGUGCAGGAGAGGUAAGUGGAAUGCCUAGUGUAGCGGUGAAAUGCGUAGAUAUUAGGAGGAACACCAGUGGCGAAGGCGGCUUACUGGACUGUAACUGACGUUGAGGCUCGAAAGCGUGGGGAGCAAACAGGAUUAGAUACCCUAGUAGUC
rnacentral:rRNA from 1 species